AUUGAACGCUGGCGGCAGGCCUAACACAUGCAAGUCGAGCGAGCGGCGGACGGGUGAGUAAUGUAUGGGGACUGCCCGUUAGAGGGGGAUAACUACUGGAAACGGUAGCUAAUACCGCAUACUAUCGGAUAACCCAUAUGGGAUUGGCUAGUAGGUGAGGUAAUGACUAACCUAGGCGACGCUCCCUAGCUGGUCUGAGAGGAUGAUCAGCCAACAUGGAACUGAGACACGGCCCAGACUCCUACGGAGGCAGCAGUGGGGAAUAUUGCACAAUGGGCGCAAGCCUGAUGCAGCCAGGCCGCGUGUAUGAAGAAGGCCUUAGGGUUGUAAAGUACUUUCAGCGGGGAGGCGUUACCCGCAGAAGAAGCACCGGCUAACUCCGUGCCAGCAGCCGCGGUAAUUC
rnacentral:rRNA from 1 species